AACGAACGCUGGCGGCAUGCCUAACACAUGCAAGUCGAACGAUGCCUUCGGGCAUAGUGGCGCACGGGUGCGUAACGCGUGGGAAUCUGCCUUUCGGUUCGGAAUAACUCAGGGAAACUUGAGCUAAUACCGGAUAACGUCGCAAGACCAAAGAUUUAUCACCGAAAGAUGAGCCCGCGUAGGAUUAGCUAGUUGGUGAGGUAAAGGCUCACCAAGGCGACGAUCCUUAGCUGGUCUGAGAGGAUGACCAGCCACACUGAGACUGAGACACGGCCCAGACUCCUACGGGAGGCAGCAGUGGGGAAUAUUGGACAAUGGGCGAAAGCCUGAUCCAGCAAUGCCGCGUGAGUGAUGAAGGCCUUAGGGUUGUAAAGCUCUUUUACCCGGGAAGAUAAUGACGGUACCGGGAGAAUAAGCCCCGGCUAACUCCGUG
rnacentral:rRNA from 1 species